GACGAACGCUGGCGGCGUGCUUAACACAUGCAGGUCGAACGGGAUCCAUGGGAGCUUGCUCCCGGAAGAUCUAGUGGCGAGCGGGUGAGUAACACGUGAGGAACCUGCCCUUCACUGGGGAAUAACUCGGGGAAACUCGAGCUAAUACCGCAUACCUUCCACUGGUCGCAUGGCCGGCGGAAGAAAGAUUUAUCGGUGAUGGAGGGCCUCGCGGCCUAUCAGCUUGGUGGUGGGGUAACGGCCCACCAAGGCAACGACGGGUAGCUGGUCUGGGAGGACGAUCAGCCACACGGGAACUGCGACACGGUCCAGACUCCUACGGGAGGCAGCAGUGGGGAAUCUUGCGCAAUGGGCGAAAGCCUGACGCAGCAACGCCACGUGCGGGAUGACAGCCUUCGUGGUUGUAAACCGCUUUCAGCGGGGACGAAAAUGACGGUACCUGCAGAAGAAGCUCCGGCUAACUACGUGCCAGCAGCCGCCGUAA
rnacentral:rRNA from 1 species